UUUUAGGGAGACCUACACCCCUUACAUAUCAAAAAACAUCCAGUUAAAUAGAUAGUAAGUUGGUCUAACCUAGGUCGGUCGCAGAUAUUUGCAAAAUGUGAAAGCUCAAACU
rnacentral:misc_RNA from 1 species